rnacentral:ncRNA from 1 species
CAAAGGUUUGGUCCUAGCCUUACUGUUAAUUCUUACUAGACCUACACAUGCAAGUAUCCGCAGUCCGGUGAAAAUACCCUUAAAACUGAAAUUAGUUUAAAGGAGUUGGUAUCAGGCACACUCUAACCAGUAGCCCAUGACACCUUGCUUGGCCACACCCCCACGGGAAACAGCAGUGACUAACAUUGAGCAAUAAACGAAAGUUUGACUAAAUCAUAGUAUAGAGGGGUGGUAAAUUUCGUGCCAGCCGCCGCGGUCAUACGAUUAACCCAAAUUAACAGAAGAACGGCGUAAAGGGUGUUUAAGCAACCAACAUAAUAAAGUUAAAGCUCGACCAUACUGUCAUACGCAAGAGUCGAAACUAAAAUACUCAACUAACGUGACUUUACCCACUGCUGAGGACACCAAAGCCAAGGUACAAACUGGGAUUAGAGACCCCACUAUGCUUGGCCGUAAACCUAGGUAAUUCAAUAACGAAAUUACUCGCCAGAGAACUACUAGCCAUCGCUUAAAACUCAAAGGACUUGGCGGUGCCCUAAACCCUCCUAGAGGAGCCUGUUCUAUAAUCGAUAAACCACGAUACACCUCACCCUCUCUAGCUAGCAGUCUAUAUACCGCCAUCGUCAGCUCACCCCAAUAGGGAUCAAAAGUGAGCGCAACCAUCUAACUCAUAAAAACGUUAGGUCAAGGUGUAGCAUAUGGAAGGGGAAGCAAUGGGCUACAUUUUCUAACUUAGAACACAACGAAUUGUCUAUUGAAACAAAGAUAUGAAGGCGGAUUUAGAAGUAAAUUAAGAAUAGAGAGCUUAAUUGAAAUAGGCAAUAGGGUGCGCACACACCGCCCGUCACCCUCCUCGAUAAAGUGCACAAAACUAUAACUAAUAACUCAACGUUACAAAGAGGAGAAAAGUCGUAACAUGGUAAGUGUACUGGAAAGUGUACUUGGAUAA